rnacentral:rRNA from 1 species
UACGGAGGGUGCAAACGUUGCUCGGAAUUAUUGGGCGUAAAGAGCUCGUAGGCGGCCUGUUGCGUCCGCUGUGAAAGCCCGGGGCUUAACCCCGGGUCGGCAGUGGAUACGGGCAGGCUAGAGGUAGGUAGGGGAGAAUGGAAUUCCCGGUGUAGCGGUGAAAUGCGCAGAUAUCGGGAGGAACACCGGUGGCGAAGGCGGUUCUCUGGGCCUUACCUGACGCUGAGGAGCGAAAGCGUGGGGAGCGAACAGG